UGCGUAGGUGGUCGUUUAAGUCUGUUGUGAAAGCCCUGGGCUCAACCUGGGAACUGCAGUGGAAACUGGACGACUAGAAUGUGGUAGAGGGUAGCGGAAUUCCUGGUGUACCAGUGAAAUGCGUAGAGAUCAGGAGGAACAUCCAUGGCGAAGGCAGCUACCUGGACCAACAUUGACGCUGAGGCGCGAAAGCGUGGGGAGCAAACA
rnacentral:rRNA from 1 species